CUUAGGCAAGGGGUCCGGGUCAGAGUUUAGAGCUUUCAAAUCCCAACUUGCCCCUGGGGAUUGCACGGCUGACGUUUAAAUCGCCUAGUCAAGCCAACCGGCUCGCUCUUGUUUCAGCAAACCCUGACUUACAUCUCCUGUUUGACUUGAGGCGGCACAGUGGCCUGGUCGAUUGGCCGUGGCAAGUGACCCUCUCUGUGGCUGAAGUGUUCUGAGGACUGGCGAGAGAGGCGCGCCAUGCUUGCCCCCUGCUCAGGUUGGGAGCUUGGCUGCUUCCGUCUCUGUCUCCGUCAGGUCCGACUGUGGGCUGGCGCUGGGCGCUGGGCUUGCUGGGCUUGCCAAGCCAGGCCGUACAGCUCAGGUGGGGGCGAGCGCUGGCCCGGAUCGGAGACUGAGGUCCCUCCGCCUGGCCCGGCGCGCCGGACUCUGAAGGAGUGGACCCUGCAGGUGAGCCCGUUCGGUCGGCUGCGGGCGCGGCUCCCGUGCCACCUGGCCGUGAGGCCCCUGGACCCCCUCACCUACCCGGAUGGCGACCGCGUGCUGGUAGCGGUGUGCGGCGUGGAGGGCGGCGCGCGGGGCCUGGACGGCCUGCUGGUGAAGUACGACGAGGAUCUGGAGGAGAUGGCCAUUGUGUCUGAUACUAUCCACCCCCAGGCGUCCGUGGAGGUGAACGCGCCCCUGAAGUUUGGUUUAGAUAUCAAGUCAUCAGGGUCUGGCUGUGUAAAAGUUCAAAGUAUUGAGUGUGAUAAUUGCAAAAUUGAAACAGAGCAUGGGACUAGCAUCUUGCAGUCUGUUAAGGGUCAAAAAUUGCAUGUUCAAACAAAAAGAGGCAAAGUGAUCUGUCUGGGAACAGUUUAUGGAAAUAUAGAUAUUCAUGCAUCAGACAAAAGUGCUGUGACCAUAGAUAAACUGCAGGGAAGUUCUGUUACUGUAUCUACCGAAGAUGGUUUGCUGAAAGCCAAGUAUCUUUAUACAGAAUCAUCAUUUCUGUCUUCUGCUGCUGGAGAUAUUACAUUAGGAAGUGUUCAUGGUAAUAUAACAUUACAAAGCAAGAUGGGUAACAUCACAGUAGAUUCAUCUUCUGGAUGUCUAAAAGCCUCAACUAAUCAGGGUGCCGUAGAUGUUUAUGUCAGCCAACUGGGGAAAGUGGAAUUGAAAUCCCAUAAAGGGUAUCACUCUGUCACCUAGGCUGGAGUGCAGCAGCAAGAUCAUGGCUCAGUGCAGCCUCAUCAGGAUUGCCUAAGCUUGGGAGGUCAGCCUUC
rnacentral:sRNA from 1 species